GGGGGGGCAAGCGUUUGUUCGGAAUUACUGGGCGUAAAGCGCGCGCAGGCGGCCCGGCAAGUCCUACGUGAAAUCCCACAGCUCAACUGUGGAACUGCGUGGGAUACUGCCAGGCUUGAGUCCGGGAGAGGAGAGUGGAAUUCCCAGUGUAGCGGUGAAAUGCGUAGAUAUUGGGAGGAACACCGGUGGCGAAGGCGGCUCUCUGGACCGGUACUGACGCUGAGGCGCGAAAGCUAGGGGAGCAAACGGGGAUUAGAUACCCCGGUAGUCCUAGCUGUAAACUUUGAGCACUUUGUGUGGCGGGUAUCGACCCCCUGCCGUGCAGAAGCUAACGCAUUAAGUGCUCCGCCUGGGGAGUACGGUCGCAAGGCUG
rnacentral:rRNA from 1 species